UACGGCCACAUAAUGUUGAAACACCGGUUUCCGUACGAUCACCGAAGUUAAGUACCGUCAAGCAUGAUCAGUACCUAGAUGGGUAACCACUUGGGAAUACCAGGUGUUGUAA